AGACAGUCGUUGUUGCUGCUCCUCCGAUCUUCUUCCCUCUUCUCCUUUCCUUCCUCCCAGCCGCGCGCGCGGAGGGAAGGAGAAGAAGAGAUUAGAAGGGCGCCGGAAGGAGAAGAACACAGCUACAUUGACUAGCCAAUAACUAGGAAAAAAACAAAAUUAGGGUCGGCUGGGCAGGCCGCGGCGCGCGGUGGGCGAGGACGGGAGCAGGCUUCCACGCGCUCUUCUCUCUGCCUUCAUCUGAUCGAUCGGUUCAAGAACACGCCGGAAUUGAAGUCUCGCAUUGCACUUGCACACCGCCGAGAGCCUCGAUCCAUGCCUCCGCCUGCCCCUGCCAUCGCCGUCGUGCCGCUGCCGCCGAGCCGCCGCCGCUUACCGGCUGCGACGGCUGCUACUGACUGAUCGCUCUGGAUGUAGCUAUAGGUACCUCUCGCUCGAUUGACAUGCUGUUCAUAUAACCUCUAACAAGCCUCAAGAAUCAAACGCAAACAAAGGUACGCGUGUCAAUUUACGAUCGUAUCUCUGCUGCUGUGAAUUAUGAAUUUCUAAUAGAUCAGUGACUCUCGGAUGCAUGUAUG
rnacentral:lncRNA from 7 species